rnacentral:sRNA from 1 species
AUGGCUGUCGUCAGCUCGUGUCGUGAGAUGUUGGGUUAAGUCCCGCAACGAGCGCAACCCUUGUCCUAUGUUGCCAGCGGGUAAUGCCGGGGACUCGUAGGAGACUGCCGGGGUCAACUCGGAGGAAGGUGGGGAUGACGUCAAGUCAUCAUGCCCCUUAUGUCCAGGGCUGCACACAUGCUACAAUGGCCGAUACAGAGGGCUGCUAUCCCGCGAGGGUGAGCGAAUCCCAAAAAGUCGGUCUCAGUUCGGAUCGCAGUCUGCAACUCGACUGCGUGAAGUCGGAGUCGCUAGUAAUCCCGGAUCAGCAACGCCGGGGUGAAUACGUUCCCGGGCCUUGUACACACCGCCCGUCACACCACGAAAGUCGGUAACACCCGAAGCCAGUGGCCCAACCGCAAGGAGGGAGCUGUCGAAGGUGGGAUUGGUGAUUGGGGUGAAGUCGUAACAAGGUAGCCGUACCGGAAGGUGCGGCUGGAUCACCUCCUUUCUAAGGAGUAUUUGGUGGAUCAUUCUGAUCCACCCACUCCCAAGUUGAUCAUUAGCUAUUCGGUACCUCUGGUGAGCACGCUUUUUGCAGGAUCUAAUCCUCAAGGCGUAGGAGCCGGAAGUGCCGGGUAAUCCUCUGUUCCGUUUUCUGGGGGCAUUCGCCUCCAGCACCCACACAGCGAAGCCGGCCUACGGGCCGGCCUCUUGCUGUGUGCGCGCCCCUUGAGAAUUCCAUAGCGAGCACGAGCAUCUUUGUUUUUCCAAGCUACAAAGAGCCAACGGUGGAUGCCUUGGCGCCUGAAGCCGAUGAAGGACGUGGGUGGCUGCGAUAAGCCACGGGGAGCUGCCUACCAAGCGUUGAUCCGUGGAUGUCCGAAUGGGGAAACCCGG